CGGGGCGUAGCGCAGCCAGGUAGCGCACACGACUGGGGGUCGUGUGGUCGGAGGUUCAAAUCCUCUCGCCCCGACCA
rnacentral:tRNA from 1 species